rnacentral:rRNA from 1 species
UUAAGCGACUAAGCGUACACGGUGGAUGCCCUGGCAGUCAGAGGCGAUGAAGGGCGUGCUAAUCUGCGAUAAGCGCCGGUAAGGUGAUAUGAACCGUUAUAACCGGCGAUACCCGAAUGGGGAAACCCAGUGUGACUCGUCACACUAUCAUUAACUGAAUCCAUAGGUUAAUGAGGCGAACCGGGGGAACUGAAACAUCUAAGUACCCCGAGGAAAAGAAAUCAACCGAGAUUCCCCCAGUAGCGGCGAGCGAACGGGGAGGAGCCCAGAGCCUGAAUCAGCAUGUGUGUUAGUGGAAGCGUCUGGAAAGGCGCGCGAUACAGGGUGACAGCCCCGUACACAAAAGCGCAUGUGCUGUGAGCUCGAUGAGUAGGGCGGGACACGUGGUAUCCUGUCUGAAUAUGGGGGGACCAUCCUCCAAGGCUAAAUACUCCUGACUGACCGAUAGUGAACCAGUACCGUGAGGGAAAGGCGAAAAGAACCCCGGCGAGGGGAGUGAAAAAGAACCUGAAACCGUGUACGUACAAGCAGUGGGAGCCCCACCACCAAAGCAUUCUCUGGUGUUGAAGGCCCUGCAAAGCAGCAUCGCGGUGGCGGAGCGUCGUUUGCGACGCCCAACACACAAAACAAGCGGUGAGUGCUUUGGGGUGGGGUGACUGCGUACCUUUUGUAUAAUGGGUCAGCGACUUAUAUUCUGUAGCAAGGUUAACCGAAUAGGGGAGCCGGAGGGAAACCGAGUCUUAAUUGGGCGUUAAGUUGCAGGGUAUAGACCCGAAACCCGGUGAUCUAGCCAUGGGCAGGUUGAAGGUUGGGUAACACUAACUGGAGGACCGAACCGACUAAUGUUGAAAAAUUAGCGGAUGACCUGUGGCUGGGGGUGAAAGGCCAAUCAAACCGGGAGAUAGCUGGUUCUCCCCGAAAGCUAUUUAGGUAGCGCCUCGUGAAUUCAUCUCCGGGGGUAGAGCACUGUUUCGGCUAGGGGGCCAUCCCGGCUUACCAACCCGAUGCAAACUGCGAAUACCGGAGAAUGUUAUCACGGGAGACACACGGCGGGUGCUAACGUCCGUCGUGAAGAGGGAAACAACCCAGACCGCCAGCUAAGGUCCCAAAGUCAUGGUUAAGUGGGAAACGAUGUGGGAAGGCCCAGACAGCCAGGAUGUUGGCUUAGAAGCAGCCAUCAUUUAAAGAAAGCGUAAUAGCUCACUGGUCGAGUCGGCCUGCGCGGAAGAUGUAACGGGGCUAAACCAUGCACCGAAGCUGCGGCAGCGAACGUAUCACUUAAAGCGAUUCAGCGGGUUACGAUUGACGGAGCGAAGCGACGUCAAAGCGUAUACAAAGUCGAGUCGGUUUAAGGAUACGUUCGUUGGGUAGGGGAGCGUUCUGUAAGCCUGUGAAGGUGUGUCGUGAGGCAUGCUGGAGGUAUCAGAAGUGCGAAUGCUGACAUAAGUAACGAUAAAGCGGGUGAAAAGCCCGCUCGCCGGAAGACCAAGGGUUCCUGUCCAACGUUAAUCGGGGCAGGGUGAGUCGACCCCUAAGGCGAGGCCGAAAGGCGUAGUCGAUGGGAAACGGGUUAAUAUUCCCGUACUUGGUGUUACUGCGAAGGGGGGACGGAGAAGGCUAUGUUGGCCGGGCGACGGUUGUCCCGGUUUAAGCGUGUAGGUGUGUGUUCCAGGUAAAUCCGGUUCACUUUAACACUGAGGCGUGAUGACGAGGCACUACGGUGCUGAAGCAACAAAUGCCCUGCUUCCAGGAAAAGCCUCUAAGCAUCAGGUAACAUCAAAUCGUACCCCAAACCGACACAGGUGGUCAGGUAGAGAAUACCAAGGCGCUUGAGAGAACUCGGGUGAAGGAACUAGGCAAAAUGGUGCCGUAACUUCGGGAGAAGGCACGCUGACACGUAGGUGAAGUGAUUUACUCAUGGAGCUGAAGUCAGUCGAAGAUACCAGCUGGCUGCAACUGUUUAUUAAAAACACAGCACUGUGCAAACACGAAAGUGGACGUAUACGGUGUGACGCCUGCCCGGUGCCGGAAGGUUAAUUGAUGGGGUCAGCGCAAGCGAAGCUCCUGAUCGAAGCCCCGGUAAACGGCGGCCGUAACUAUAACGGUCCUAAGGUAGCGAAAUUCCUUGUCGGGUAAGUUCCGACCUGCACGAAUGGCGUAAUGAUGGCCAGGCUGUCUCCACCCGAGACUCAGUGAAAUUGAACUCGCUGUGAAGAUGCAGUGUACCCGCGGCAAGACGGAAAGACCCCGUGAACCUUUACUAUAGCUUGACACUGAACAUUGAGCCUUGAUGUGUAGGAUAGGUGGGAGGCUUUGAAGCGUGGACGCCAGUCUGCGUGGAGCCGACCUUGAAAUACCACCCUUUAAUGUUUGAUGUUCUAACGUGGACCCGUAAUCCGGGUUGCGGACAGUGUCUGGUGGGUAGUUUGACUGGGGCGGUCUCCUCCUAAAGAGUAACGGAGGAGCACGAAGGUUGGCUAAUCCUGGUCGGACAUCAGGAGGUUAGUGCAAUGGCAUAAGCCAGCUUGACUGCGAGCGUGACGGCGCGAGCAGGUGCGAAAGCAGGUCAUAGUGAUCCGGUGGUUCUGAAUGGAAGGGCCAUCGCUCAACGGAUAAAAGGUACUCCGGGGAUAACAGGCUGAUACCGCCCAAGAGUUCAUAUCGACGGCGGUGUUUGGCACCUCGAUGUCGGCUCAUCACAUCCUGGGGCUGAAGUAGGUCCCAAGGGUAUGGCUGUUCGCCAUUUAAAGUGGUACGCGAGCUGGGUUUAGAACGUCGUGAGACAGUUCGGUCCCUAUCUGCCGUGGGCGCUGGAGAACUGAGGGGGGCUGCUCCUAGUACGAGAGGACCGGAGUGGACGCAUCACUGGUGUUCGGGUUGUCAUGCCAAUGGCACUGCCCGGUAGCUAAAUGCGGAAGAGAUAAGUGCUGAAAGCAUCUAAGCACGAAACUUGCCCCGAGAUGAGUUCUCCCUGAGACUUAGAGUCUCCUGAAGGAACGUUGAAGACGACGACGUUGAUAGGCCGGGUGUGUAAGCGCAGCGAUGCGUUGAGCUAACCGGUACUAAUGAACCGUGAGGCUUAACCUU